rnacentral:rRNA from 1 species
GAUUAACGCUGGCGGCGUGCAUAACACAUUCAAGUCGAACGGUGACGGGGCUUCGGCCCCUGAUCAGUGGCGGACGGGUGAGUAACGCGUGAGCAACCUGCCCUUGUGUGGGGGAUAACGUCUGGAAACGGACGCUAAUACCGCAUAACCCAAUAGUACGGCAUCGUACAGGUGGCAAAGAUUUAUUGCACAAGGAUGGGCUCGCGUCUGAUUAGGUCGUUGGUGGGGUAACGGCCUACCAAGCCCGCGAUCAGUAGCCGGACUGAGAGGUUGAACGGCCACAUUGGAACUGAGAUACGGUCCAGACUCCUACGGGAGGCAGCAGUGGGGAAUAUUUGGCAAUGGGGGAAACCCUGACCCAGCGACGCCGCGUGAGGGAAGAAGGUCUUCGGAUUGUAAACCUUAAACAACAGGGACGAAACAAAUGACGGUACCUGUUAGGAAGCCACGGCUAACUACGUGCCAGCCGCCGCCGUAAGAC